UACGUAGGGCGCGAGCGUUGUCCGGAAUUAUUGGGCGUAAAGAGCUCGUAGGCGGCCUGUUGCGUCCGCUGUGAAAUCCCGGGGCGUCAACCCCGGGCUUGCAGUGGAUACGGGCUGGCUAGAGGCAGGCAGGGGAGAACGGAAUUCCCGGUGUAGCGGUGAAAUGCGCAGAUAUCGGGAGGAACACCGGUGGCGAAGGCGGUUCUCUGGGCCUGUACUGACGCUGAGGAGCGAAAGCGUGGGGAGCGAACAGGG
rnacentral:rRNA from 1 species